AUUGAACGCUGGCGGAAUGCUUUACACAUGCAAGUCGAGCGGCAGCGCGGGGCAACCUGGCGGCGAGCGGCGAACGGGUGAGUAAUGUAUCGGAACGUGUCCUGUCGUGGGGGAUAGCCCGGUGAAAACCGGAUUAAUACCGCAUACGAUCGAGAGUUGAAAGUGGGGGACCGCAAGGCCUCACGCGAUAGGAGCGGCCGAUAUCUGAUUAGCUAGUUGGUGGGGUAAAGGCCCACCAAGGCUUCGAUCAGUAGCUGGUCUGAGAGGAUGAUCAGCCACACUGGGACUGAGACACGGCCCAGACUCCUACGGGAGGCAGCAGUGGGGAAUUUUGGACAAUGGGGGCAACCCUGAUCCAGCCAUUCCGCGUGAGUGAAGAAGGUCUUCGGGCUGUAAAGCUCUUUUGUCCGGGAAGAAACGGUUUUGGCUAAUAACCAAGACUACUGACGGUACCGGAAGAAUAAGGACCGGCUAACUACGUGCCAGCCGCCGCAGUAA
rnacentral:rRNA from 1 species